rnacentral:rRNA from 1 species
GGGGAUGCGGGUGCUAUACAUGCAGUCGAGCGGACAGAUGGGAGCUUGCUCCCUGAUGUUAGCGGCGGACGGGUGAGUAACACGUGGGUAACCUGCCUGUAAGACUGGGAUAACUCCGGGAAACCGGGGCUAAUACCGGAUGGUUGUUUGAACCGCAUGGUUCAGACAUAAAAGGUGGCUUCGGCUACCACUUACAGAUGGACCCGCGGCGCAUUAGCUAGUUGGUGAGGUAACGGCUCACCAAGGCAACGAUGCGUAGCCGACCUGAGAGGGUGAUCGGCCACACUGGGACUGAGACACGGCCCAGACUCCUACGGGAGGCAGCAGUAGGGAAUCUUCCGCAAUGGACGAAAGUCUGACGGAGCAACGCCGCGUGAGUGAUGAAGGUUUUCGGAUCGUAAAGCUCUGUUGUUAGGGAAGAACAAGUGCCGUUCAAAUAGGGCGGCACCUUGACGGUACCUAACCAGAAAGCCACGGCUAACUACGUGCCAGCAGCCGCGGUAAUACGUAGGUGGCAAGCGUUGUCCGGAAUUAUUGGGCGUAAAGGGCUCGCAGGCGGUUUCUUAAGUCUGAUGUGAAAGCCCCCGGCUCAACCGGGGAGGGUCAUUGGAAACUGGGGAACUUGAGUGCAGAAGAGGAGAGUGGAAUUCCACGUGUAGCGGUGAAAUGCGUAGAGAUGUGGAGGAACACCAGUGGCGAAGGCGACUCUCUGGUCUGUAACUGACGCUGAGGAGCGAAAGCGUGGGGAGCGAACAGGAUUAGAUACCCUGGUAGUCCACGCCGUAAACGAUGAGUGCUAAGUGUUAGGGGGUUUCCGCCCCUUAGUGCUGCAGCUAACGCAUUAAGCACUCCGCCUGGGGAGUACGGUCGCAAGACUGAAACUCAAAGGAAUUGACGGGGGCCCGCACAAGCGGUGGAGCAUGUGGUUUAAUUCGAAGCAACGCGAAGAACCUUACCAGGUCUUGACAUCCUCUGACAAUCCUAGAGAUAGGACGUCCCCUUCGGGGGCAGAGUGACAGGUGGUGCAUGGUUGUCGUCAGCUCGUGUCGUGAGAUGUUGGGUUAAGUCCCGCAACGAGCGCAACCCUUGAUCUUAGUUGCCAGCAUUCAGUUGGGCACUCUAAGGUGACUGCCGGUGACAAACCGAG